ACCUGAUCCGGUAUGAUGGCGUGAAUGGACGACCGGCAGGUAAGUGGAGAGAUUAAUAUCUGUGUGAAUGUUUGUUUAAGUUAACUGAUAGAGCUCAUAUUGUGCAAUCUUGGUUACCCUAUCAAACAGAAAAGGAGAAGUAUCCCUGUUUAGUGGGUGAAUAGGGAGGGAAAUGUUUGGCGUGUAUGUGGGUUUGUUUGUGUCCAUGCGCAGCCCGCAGUCAGCGAGGACGCCGCUCCGUCGCACCCGCUAAACGUUAAAACUGCGGUAAUAUUUCUGAUGUUAAAAUAGUUGUAAUAUUUCCACAUUCAUUGACAAAAAUGGCUCAAGGGAUGGAAAGUUGGGAUGACCGUUUUAGAAGGGGGAUGAUUUUGAACAUUUGUAAUGGUAAUAAUGCAAUGGUGACAAGAAUUUAUAAUUACUUUUUUGGAGGGACAUCGUAGAUAACAUAUUAAAUUAGUUUUACGAGUCAAGUGUUUAAAAGGUCUUUCUUUGUGGGACGUUCAAAACAUCCAGAAUCGUUUGCCACCAUUCUUGUUCAAUAUUCCCUUCUUCUUAAUAAAAAACUUCCAAGCUUUUAAAAAGUACUUGAACGCACCAUCGAUCUGCUGCGUCAGUGGUGUUUUGCGUCAUCACGUCCUCUGGCUGAUCCUGUUAGCUGGAGGAAAAACAGCUCCUGUCUGUCUGCUGGGAGCGAGGAAGAACUUAGUGUUAAACUAAUUAUCUGUUUGUUGUCUGCAGUCUGAGUCACUCUGAAUAAAGUCACGGGAGCAUUUUUGACAGUAUUUGUCAUAAAAAGCCUUAAAAAAAAUUAUCUUAUAAUACAAAGUUCCGUCAAAAAGUUUAUUAUCCUCCAGUACAGCUGGCUUCACGGCCUAUAAGUCAUUCAUUGUGUCAUUUUCAAGCAAAUAAAAUAGCUAACACACUCUGUAUAAUGGGCUCAAAUGAGUUGUCGGUGUGUCUGUAUCACCUUCAUAUGGUGUCCUCUCUCCAUGGAACAGUUUUUAAUCAGUGUUUUGGGUGCAGUAACAGACUGUGUUCACAGAUAAUAGUUUAUGGAUGACAUCCAAGUGACUCCCACUGCAGAGUCAGGUCUGUUUUUCAUGCAGCGCUGCCAGAGGGGCUGAAGAUCAUCACUAAUCUGUAUUUGUCUUUGGCCUUGUCCCUCCUGUACAGAGUUUCCUCACGAGUCUCUGAACCUUUUGAUAAUUUUAUUUAUUAUAAUUGAAGAAAUCCUUCAGCGCUCUCCAGUUUUACACCAAGUGCGCUCAGUGAAAAUGUAUUUUUUUGGCCUAUCUCAAUGGCCUCUCUCACACACAAAAACGACAACAAAAAAGUAAAUUCUGACCAGAAGACUUUGUGACGUGGAGUCAAAACCAGCAGGCAGGUUUAAAGGGACCUUGAGUGGUUUUUUUGUUUGUUUGGUCAGCUGUUCUGAAUCGCCAUCUCUUUUUCUUCUCUGUUUUUGAGAGUGUUUGUGUUUCCUGUCAUGAGGUCAAAGUGUUGAACGCAGCUGUUCUGCAGAGGUCAAUGUCUCCAGUCAAGUCAAGUUUUUUUGUUUCUAUGGAAACACGAGUAUGAAGACAAUUAUUAGAUAUUAGAUAAAGACUUUCCAAUUCUGCUGAUGAUGACCAUCGUCUGUCUUUUUUAAGACAGAGGUUCUCAACUGGUGGGUCCGAACCCAAAAGUGGGACACGUUCUGGAUGGGUUGCAAACAGCUGAUGUUUGACAUGUCUUUUAUUUUGAAAAAUAGGUUAUUUUGUGCAAUUUGGUAUUUGAUAUUUUCUGUAUAUGCAGCUUUAAUAAUUGUUGUCCCUUGAUGGACACCACAAACAAGCGGGCUGGUUCAAAGUGCUGCAGAACCAGGAGAAGACAGCAAAACCUCCCCUGUAUUAGCUUCUGUACACUGGUUUCCUAUUAAAUUUAGGGCAGAAUUGAUCAUUCUUCUGACCUCCACCACCUUCAUGUCUAAAAGAGUUCUUCCUGUGGCCAAAACAAAGGAAAUGGACACCUUCAAAAUAAAAGUAGACAUUAAAACAGCAGCAAAAUAAAUGACAUUGAAAAAUAACUUACUUGCAGCAGACAGUUCUGGAUACUGCUCUAUAAAUUCAGUCAUACUUGCAGUAAUUUAUUAUAGAACUUAUUCCUGUUUAUUGCAUUUAUUCCUGUUUUAUAGAUGAAAACAAAGUGAAGUGUGACUGAAUCAAAUCAAAUUCUUUGGGCUGAUCUUUUUUGGCUUUUAAUUGCAGCUAGUUUUGAAGAUAUUUUCAUGUUUUUCAGACAUUCUCCAGGUUACAUGCUGCUUCUUUUUUUGUUGUUCCUGUAGUUCCUCCCGUUGGACAGCAGAGGACGCUGUUGAUACAUACACCGCUCUGGCUGUGAAGUUUCUGUAAAGACCGUCCUGUUUCAGAUGUCAGUCAGGUAAUAAAUUCUCACUGUUUGUUGGUAUGUUGAGUUAAACUUGACUGUGCAAACCCUAAAACAGUUUUCCCACAAGAAGCAAUAAAAACAUUUUUGUAAACACUUUUUAAAUGGAAAAUCUAAUUUUACUGGAUGUUUCCCUUUAAUUGGAAGUCUGAUCAGUCUGUUAGUUUUCACUAGUGUGAUAUUUAAUAUUUUGCACAUGGUAAGUGGAUGUGAAACGAAAACAAGCUUCAUUAACCUGAGAGGACAAGACAAAGAAGUCAGUCAGGGGAAGCAGCAGUAAAAAAAUAAAACAGGAGAGCGUGUUGUGAUCGUGAUGACACAAGGACCGCCACAGUUGAAGUCCAUGAACCAUCUGAGAACAGCUUCUUCAGCAAUGACCUUUUCAGUCUCACCCUCCUUGUGCAGGGUGUCACUUUUUGUGCUGAGUUACUGAAAUAAAUCAACUCUUUGAGAUAUUCUGAUUCACUGAGACACACCUGUAUAUAGAAAACAGAUGAGGAGGCCUUAGCCCCGCCCCUUUUUUGAUGCACGAUGACAGCCCCUCCAGCUGCGCCCGCUCAGGUGAUCGAAAAUGAACGAUAGGUGAGGCGGCGGAGCAGCUGUCCCACGGAGGAUCUGGUAACAGCUCGGGUUCGGUGUCAGAGCAGAGAGUAAAUCACGUAGUUUAGAGGGAUUCACUGACACACCCACCGCCAUACCACACAUGUGUGCAUGCACACACAUUAACACAUGCACUCAAACACACAUGCAGUCUACAAACACCAGCAUUAAUAAGCAUAUAUAAGUAUAAACCAUAUUCCAAUAUUCAGUCUGUUUUUAUGUUAUUAACCUCAGGUGGAGAGCUCUCAGCACAGAGUGACGCUUUAUUUUAUUAUUCAGUAAACAUGUUACUACAACAUAAUAACACAAAUAAAGCUGUGAACAAACACUCUUUACUCUGCGAAGGAGUAUUUGGAUCUGUUUUAUUAUAACUAUUUUUCUUAUGUGAAUAAAGUUGUAGUCAAAUCAUUUUAUAAUCAGAAUACAGACAUGAAUGACUUAGUCACAACUCUUAGGUCUUAGUAAAGUCAUUUCCUUUCUAGAGGUAAAUUUAACUAUCAUCAUGAUAUGAGUACUAAGUCAUAAAGAGCAUAUGAUCAUAAUUGAAUCACAGUCUUGCAAGAAUAAAGUCUUUGCAAAAUAUUUUUUAAAGAUCAUAGAUCUUGUGAAUCAAGAAUUAAAUAGUAGCAGAGUCAUAAUUGAGAAUUAAGUUGCAGUAAAUCAAAUGUAAAGGUCUUAAAAACUGUUUUCUUGCAGGAAGUUGUAAAAAUAUUUUUUUAAUGAGGUUGAAGUUCUUUAAAAAUCAUUUAAUUACAAGAAGGUCAAAUCAUGAGAAUCAGGAGGUACUUGUAUUAUUUUGUCACAUAAAAUCUCUUGAUUUAAAAAGUAAAGACAAAAUUGUUUAAUUUUUCAAGAACAUAGUUGUUGUGAAAUAAUAAAGUUGUAGUAUCUUUGUAACUGAAGAACUGUAAGUACGACUUAAAACUCAUGAGAAAAGACUAUUUUUCCUAUUUUAUACCAGUUUGUAAACACAUUUAUUUCCACUGUAAAAAUCAUUAAUUUGAUAUGAGGCUCUAUAGAGAUUCACUCACUUUCGGACUCAGCCCCAAGUGGACACUGAAGGAACUGCAUAUUUUUUUGGUUGCAUUUCCACCAGGGCUUCAAUUUUGAACCCUGGAGGUCGCUGCUUUGAUUUAACAUAAGAUUUAUGCAAAAUGUCGACACAAGCUGAAUUAUCAAACUAAAGCUGAAUGAUGCAAACAGGCAGGUUUAUGUUUUUACAGGAAUUUUUUUGCAUAUUUUUCAAUGACUUCAGAAAAGAUAAUGUUUUUCAUAUGAGCUCUUCUUUUAGGAUUAAAAAAUUUGAUUAGGAUUAUUGAAACUGCACCAGUUUUUGUAAAUUUACAGCAAUUAAAAUGUUUGUAAAAUCAGAUUUUAAACAGGGAAUAAAGAUCACUCUUAAGUGAGAUUUUUCUAAAACCAAAACUAAACGACUACGAGUCGUAAAAACACCUUCAGCUGCAGAGAUAACCUUUAUUUUUAACACGACGACACGCUGCUUUGAAGCUGAGUAAUGACAUGUGAAUGUUGCCCAAUCAGAGCUCCCCGCCACGUUGUGUAAGUCACUUCUGCACAUGCUCAGUGCGACCCCUCCCCCAGCUGUGACCCCAGUUGUACAUAGCUGUGACACCUGAGUUGUGUGACACUGAGUGUGACUUGCAGGAUCAUCACUGGGGCUCGUCUUGACACCUACACCGGGGUCAGAGGUCAGGCGGUGUCCAUCGCAGCAUGACGGUUACAUAACCUUUUCCCGCAUGCACACGUAAACAGUUCCUGAUCAUUUGAAGAGCAGAUUUAUGUUUCUGAGAGCUUCACUUCAUCGAGAUUUGUUUGACUGACUCACCAGCUGUGACGGAUACAGAUGCAAUAAUGGGAUACACACAGUUUGUUUUAAGUAUCUUUGAUGGAGUGAAAAACACGAGACAUGUGCUUUAAGAUUAAAUGAGAAGAUAAACGACGCAAAAAUGAAGCUACUGAGUCUAAUCCAGAGGAAAAUAAAAGAAGAGAAAACAACUUUAGAGACAAACUUUGUUUCUGUGAUUUUAAAGACUUUUUAUUCCCGCUAAAUGACUCUCUAUUUUUUUGGAGCAAGCCUCUAGUGGCCAAUAAUGGAACUGCACUGUAGGUUAUUCUCCUUUUUUAAGUAAAAAUAAAACAGAAACACAAUAUGUAACAUUUUUACCUGGUUAUUAUGGCCUUUUUUUCAACAUUUAUGAUAAAUCCAUAUACAUCUACCUAUCAUAUCUAUGCGUGUAGCAACCAGCGAAAAAGCACCACUACGACUCGAUUGGCCACUUUGCUGCUGAGCUCUCACUGGUUACCAUCACAGAUUAGAACAUUUUGUGCAGGAUAGAAAGAAAGAAAAUCUCCUGAGACAAGAUAUUGUUAUUGGACAAGAUAAAACCACCAGUUUCUAAGGCUGUAAGGUCCAAAAACCCAGAGAUAGUCAGGAUGACGACCAAGCUGUAGUUUGACCUCAAGAUAACACCAACAUUUGGAGUUGAUUUUUCCCACCAACAACCAGAGGAGUCAAUAUCAAAAGAAGGAAAUAACAUUGUAUUUUUCUCCAUAUCUGAAUUUCAUCACAGUUAUUUUAAAGAAACUGUUUCAGGACGUCGUUGAAGAAGUUUGUCGUAAAUCUGUGCUCUUCACUCUGGAUGGUUUUUUUCUUCUCUGGUGGACGGUGGAUUUUCUCCGCAGUAUCUCAAACAGCUGCUGAGCUUUCAAAGUCCAGUCCAUCAUCCUCAGCCUCAUGUUAACACACCAGCACACGCAUGACCACUGCUGUGUGUGUGUGUGUGUGUGUGUGUGUGUGUGUGUGUGUGUGUGUGUGUGUGUGUGUGUGUGUCUGAUAUGAUGGGCUUAACUGGCCCUGCAGAGCAACAAUGGUCGUAUUGAGGGGGACGUUGCCCCGCGUGGCCCGGCGUGGAUGGAGGGUUAUGGAGGGUUUUGUUGUGGGGGUUCACGGGGUUGUUUUUUUGGGGGGGUUGUUAUGCACGGAGACCCUGAGCCCUGCAGCUGUCGCCUGGCACGCUCCGGCCUCAGGGAGAACCGACAGCUCACGUCAGUGCCAAGUGUCCUGGUGCGGCCGAUGGCGUGGGCCUCUGUCAUCGUGGGGCAUCUGGAGGGGGGUGGGUAACGACCACCACUGCACCAGCACCUUCCAGCUCCACACAGACCCCUCCCUCCCUCCCUCCCUCACCCAUGAGGCUGCAUGUCACCCAGCUGCUUCGCCCUCCGAAGGAACGUGUCGCAGUUUGAGCGUCAGGCCGAUUACAGCGCUCCUGGAGUCCGAGCGUCAGAACCAGCAGCUGUCAAUCUUAACCACAAAGAGGGGACUCAUGGACGGGCUGGUUUACAAGAAAAACUCGCUUCAAACUCAGACGAACUUCAACGUUUUCCCUGUUUUUUACAUUUUGUAUUUGAUCAAAUAUUUUCCUGUGUGUGAAAGUUUUUUUGCCUCGUUGAAAUUUUAGUUUCAUCAUUUAAAAACUCGGGCUGAGACUCGAUUUAGAAAAUUAAUCUAAUCAAUCAGAGCCUUUGCAAUUAAUUAAUCGCAAUUAAUCAGGUGAGCCAGAGAGUUUGUUAAUUUUUCUGACAUGGACUAACCGGCAAUUUCCACCACAUCUGGAACAGCUACGAAAUGGUCGUAUCAACCGAUUGAUGCUGAUCGUAACCAUUCAAGUUAACGUGUCAAUUUCCACCGGCUUCUUUCCGUUCCUCUGCUGAUCACAAGAAAUCUAUUUACGUCAAAAGCAUGCUGGAUAAAGUCUGCACAGAUUAACCCGUGCUGGAAAGGAAGUCGGGCACAGACACAAAAUAAAACAUCCGGCUUCUUUUCAAAAUAAAACACUCUGUGUUUCAGGAGGAUCGUAUUUCACACCAUGCAAACGGGCGGAGACGAACAAGUGAAAGGUUUUUAGACGUCAUUUCACCCCGAUGACACCAUGGAUGAGGAGAUGCUGAUUCUAGAAGUCUAGAAGUAGAUUUCCUCCUCUGGAAGGACACAAUCUACUGCUUACAUGGUUAGCCUCUGUGGCUAACGUGAAUCCAUGGGUUCUUGUGAGUUCUCAUAAUUCCUGCCGUCUGAAAUCCACCAUGAAAUUCGCCUCACAAACGGACCCUGUAGGAAUUGGCAUACGGUGAAAAUUACAGCCGUUCCAGAUGCAGUGGAAAUUCCGGGUUACUGGGUUGGUUGUGGGUCGCUAUACUCAGAGUCGGACUAACGUUAGCUUCCAUGCUAGCUGCAACAUGUUUAGCAUCCAGGUGAUUCUGGAGGCUUGAUGUGCUGCAAUGACAACGACAAAUUCUUUUUCACGUAGUUUUCAUGCCCAUCCACGCUGGAGCCAAUCAAAGCAGAUUCAUCGGCGACUUCGUUCAUUUUUCAUUUUUAUUAUUUUUAACGAGAUCACAUUACUGUAAUUAAUUAAUCGGAGUUAAGCCCCAUUAAAAACCCAAACUGUUAAAUCUGUCAUUAUUUCAAUAGCAGAACAUCUAUCAGGCUGAAACAAAAACACGUCUUUAAUAGGUGAGAGGAAAUCCAAAUCUGUGUUUGUGGAUUAAAAUAUAAACGUUUAAAUACAUAAAGAUGUAAUCCACGUAUGUGUGAGGGUAAAGAGAGGAAACAUUAAACCAUUAAACCAGUAAAACAUGAGCUCUGGGUCACUGUGCUCUUAAUCCUGUCCAGACUGGUUCCUGACUGGAUUUACCCUGCUCACACACACACACACACACACACACACACACACACACACACACACACACACACACACACACACACACACACACACACACACACACACACACACUGAGCUUUACUGAGGUGGCAGAUAAAAAUAACUGUGGAGUCAGGUUGAGUCACUUUUAUUUAGAGGAAUCACAUCGACACGACGCACACAAACAAAAGACGUAGAGAGCAGAGUCAGUUUGAAACCAUGAAACCAUGAAACCAGUAAACACAUCGAAGUUUUUAUCGUCCUGAAAACACGACUGAAGGUCUGACCCUGAAACCGAACCAAGAGACCCUGGAACAACGUGUGAAAAGACUUAAGAGUCCAGACUACUUUACAACCACAAGUCCAGACUUUGAGGACCGGAUCUGAGGAGGAUAGUUUUGAGAAGUCUCUCUUCUCUAUGUGACUCUUUCAUCAUCCUUCACAGACCUCAAAAGUACCUAAAAAUAAGAACUGGUGUUUGCCGACCUGUGAAUAGGAACAGUUCAGAGAAUUUUAUGGCUGAACAAGAGGAUGAGACCCCCACCUGACAGAGUAGAGUCCCCUUCCACUUCUUGAAGAUAAACACUUUUUUAAACCGUUUUUAACAGUUCUUGGCACUUACUCAUGCUGUCCUCUACUGCCCCGGUAAUCUCCAUGUGAUGUACGAACUCUCAAAUCUACGUCACUUUGGGCUAAAGUGUCUGUUAAAUAUUAUUGUAGCAUUGUGAUGCCGUAAAGGUCGUCACACACCGGCGAAUUAACGAAGAGAUGCAAAAAAGUGACACGAAAAUGCAAAAGAUUCGGCUUACAUGACACGAAUAAAAUUGGCAUAAAAAUGGGAGAGAAGAAGGAGAAACAAAUGAGGACUACAUCCUCAAGUGAUGAUGAUCUGGUCAUGAAUGUAAGAUCAUUAAAUAAAAAUAAAAAGAAGAAUCUGAGCGUCUGGGUACAUCCAAUACUGACCUUGUGACAGGAGAUGGGGGAGUUUAACACAACGAUCCAGGAGCUGAAAAUGUAUCCUGAGAAUUUCGGACAAUACUUCAGACAAUUUGAAGAACCGCUCCAUGAGCUGACUCCAUGUUUGCAGAAGGACAAAUUACAGAGAGCCGAUUGAUCCAAAGCAACGACUCACCACAUGUCUGAAGUAAUAUUUAUAAUAGGCUUUAGAUUUACACAGCAGUUCACCUGCAAAUGUUCGAAAAAUUCACUACAGGGAUGAAAAAAUGACAGUUCCUUUUUCUCUCUGCGGAGGUUUGUAGCCGGUGUGGGAGCUUGCUUUGACUUUAUGAGUUUUUAAAAAAACCUAAAUAUUCACUUCGAAAAUUCGCUUCACUUAUUCGCCCGUGUGUAACGACCUUAAGAGAGGAAACGCAGUGAGCAUGAUGAAGCUCAGCUCAACAGUUAUUUUUGCAGAAGUCUGAUUCUGCAGGUUUGUCUUUGAAGAAGAUUGCAGCAGUAAAAACAUGUGGAGGUAUUAAACUGCGUAUGUUUAAUAAAAUACUCCUGAAGAGUUUCGAACAUAAAAAGCUUCAGUGAAAUUCUUGCAAAAUAAAACUUCACAUAUGAUUUUUUACUUCUGCAGUUUAUCAGUUUGAUUCAUUCAUUUACCCUUUGCAUCCAAAAAACUGAUCCAGUUUUACUCCUUUACAGGAUUUUAGACAUUUUAGAUGUUUCCUCCUCCGUCUGUAUCAGUGCAUCACAAAAGGACAAUAAAAAUACAGAAGAAACAGAGUAAAGUAAAGAAAUAGAAAGACCAGAGGAGAUCUCUCUCUCUGCGUACAGGACCUCUUCAGUCUUGUUGUCGUGGUCGUUGGCCUUUUGCACAUGCUCCUCGGCUUACUGGCUGAACCCUCCACCUAUUACAUCACCGGCGUUCGUAUCGUGUUGCUCAAAAGUUGAAAUAUUCGCGGUGACAUCUGCUCAAUUAAAAACCCAGGCCUGGUCUCUCUGUGCCAAACCACGAGUGCAGAGGUUUAAACCGCGUCCCUCCUCCUCCUCCUCCUCGUCUCGCUGCUGCAUCACGUCUUGUUCUCUGUUCGGCUGCAGAGAAACGCUCGGCUCACAGUUGGUUUAUUAUUUAUCUGCCGGCGGCGGCGGCGGGCCAACAGUUGCUCUUCAGCCUCUUGUUCUCUCUGAAGCCUGAGCUCCCACCACCUGCAGCUGUCACUUCACCGCAGCGCUGCUCUGACUGGACUUUUACAAACUCUUCAUUUACUGUUUCAAAUCCUCCUCUACGGGGUCUGACAGGGUUCAAGAGAAACUUCUGUGAACUUUCUGAGCAGGAGUUCACGUCAAAUUUGUUUCCACAGUGACCUGAAGUUGAUCAAAAGUUUAGUUUCUCUGGUAGACGCAGUAAGUUCAGGGGGCUGCGAGCUGAGCUGCUGCUCAUGUUGUCUCUGUUUCAAAGCUCUGGAUGCUUCAAACCGGUUUCUUCUGGAAGUCCUGAACUCAGAGAAGAAUCCGGCAGAUAGAAACACAGACUAAAUUAGUUUUAUUUAUUUGUUUAUGCAGGAUACACUUCCUUGAAACAGAGUUUUCUCUUUUUGGGGCUUUCAGAGCAACAUGAAAAUGGUCCACGAGGGUUUUUUAGAGUCUGCUUGGUCUGACAGGACCUCCACUCCUCCUUCUCUUUAUUUCUGUCUCUUCGAUCUGGAUGUUAGUUUUUGGUUCUGGACCUAAAGACUGUUACACAAACUUCGAUCUCACUCAUUCCUACCACUGUGAUGCUGAGGUAUUUUACUCGAUAAUGACGAAAGAUCAAAACUCCAAACUUUCAUGGUAAGAUGGAUCACAAACAACUUGAGGCAGAUCAAAUGGCUUUAGUAAAUCUGAAUUGAUCCGUGGAUUUUUGAGGAUAUACUAAAUUUGGAUUAGAUCUGUCCUAAUGGGCCGACUCUUGGACUGGUUUGGUGCAAACUAACGGGUAAACUUUGAUCGAGGUUAACGUCUUUGUUGAUGCUUUUUGAUGAACUGUGAGCACAUCUGCAGAACAGCGGCUGUUGCUUGAAUUAUGGAGGUAAGAUCGGACUCUGAGGUUGUUUAUUAGAUUUGUUGAAACCAGGAAAAAUACAUGAUGUUUGGAUACCAAACCGUGUUCUUGUUCCUGGACGAGUAUUUGGACAGCAAAGGUCGCUCCACGAUGAGUUUUAACGCCCGUGACUGCAGCAGUUGUUCGUCUGUUAAAACUUAAACAUCAUCACAGAGACGCCGUCUCCCCCUCAGCCGUCUACCUGAUCCUCAUAUCCACCUCUGUAAAGCCUCCAAACAGACUGGCAGUUAAGAUCAGGGGCCCUUCAUCGGACUGACACUGCUGGCCCUCCGUCUCCCUGUGAGGUCCCUGUAAACUCGCCCUCGUGGCGGCCCGUGGCGCUGCCACUUGCCUUUCACGUUAAAACACUUGUUAAAAAGCCUGUUAUCUUUGGACGGCGUGGCGCUCAGAGAAAACAACACCUCACAAACACACAUUUACAGUCGCACACACUCACACACACACACACACAGAUGGUUUUCCACUCUGAGGCUGGAGCUCGAUAAACAAAUCCAGCAGAAAACAAAGAGGUCUGACUGCAGGUCCUCCCCCAGAUGCAGUUUCAUUCACCUGUUAAAGGAAGCGAGGGGUCGGGUCGUGUUACAGCGGGUCACAUACUGUCUUUACAUCGUCACUGAGACUCUUCUUCUUCUGUGGUGUUUUUGGCUUUAAUGGAAGUUUACAAAGACAAAUCAGGAGAAACCCACAUGUGUACGAAUAAAGUUCUGUGGUUUUGAAGCGUAAAGAGGCAGGAGUCCCUGACCACACGCGGUUUGUGUUUUUACAGCAGGUAUGAGGCUGAAUCAGAGAUGAUUCAGACGCACAGUUAAGAUGUUUCUGGUGUUUGUCAGAGUCUGAAUGUGAAAACCAGAUUCUGAAGAGAUCUUCAGCUAUGUUUGAAAUUCAGCACACAUGCAGAACAUCUGUCUGCUGCUGCUCUAUACGGCUAAAUACGACCAGAGCAGAAAGAUAAAAGCUGCAAGUGGUGAUGGAAGAGCCUUUGCGAUUUUCGCCAUAUGCCAAUUCCUACCAGAUCCGUUUGUGAGGCGAAUUUCAUGGCGGAAUACAGACAGCAGGAAUCGUGAGAACUCGCAAGAACCCGCGGAUUCACGUGCGAUAUCGCCAUAACAAGUUGUCUCUUAGCCACAGAGGGUAACCAUAUAAGCAGUAGAUUGUGUCCUUCCAGAGGAGGAAAUCUACUUCUAGACUUCUACAAUCAGCACCCUCAUCCAUCAUCUGAAAACCUUUCACUUGUUCGUCCCCGCCCGAAUGGAAUGAAGCCGAUGGAAAUUGACACGUUAACUUGAAUGGUUCCGAUCAGCUACGAUCGGUGGAUACGACCUUUUCGUAGCCGUUCUGGAUACGGUGGAAAUUGGGGUUAGCGUGUGCAGAUAAAGUCUUGGACACCAUGACUCGUGAAUGCGACGCUUUCAGAAACUUUUGACUUUCAAUAUCAUGAACAUGACAAGAUGUGCAUUUUCAUACAGGUAAACAAAGGCCCCAUCGUACUUCAAAAUAAAAGCAUCGUUUUACAGAGCAGGAAACAGAACAACCUAAAAUCAAGACAGACAAAAUUACACAAUAAAAGCAUCACAAGAGUCUCCGUCACAGAGCUGAUGAUGUGGAUAAAUUAUAGAUUUGUCUGAUUGUGUUGUUUUUUUUUAUUUUGAAGUUGUCCAGAUAACCACGAGUUAAAAAUCUGGUUUUGUGGAUGGCCUAGUGAGUACCAUGUCCUCCUGAAGGUGGCGCUGUGAGUGGAGUCGAGAAAUAAGGAAAUAAAAGUGUUUAGAGGUGGAUCAGGAUCAUGUCUGUGAAAUAUCGACCACAAUGAAGACUGGAUAAAAGAGAAAAGUUGACUUCCUGUUUCAUAGUGAGCUCUUACCACCACAUCUAUUUGAGAAGGUUUAGAGGGCGCUGUUGCAAUCUGAUCCAUCCCAGGAACCCGAUUUGUAUUGCACAUGUGCGAAACGUACUUCACUUAUGAAAUUCACGUCACCUGUCCCAAACCGCUAGGGGCAAAGAUGCUGAGCUGUCGCAAUAAUGGCUAGGAGAGGAAGUGACGUACAAUUCGCACAUGCGGGUUUCCGGGAUGGAUCGGGUAGCGACAGGCGCUGUUGAGCUCAUGAUUCCACUAAACUCAGCUAGAUUUCUGAAUGAAGUUUUGUGUUAAACGGAAAAAUCAUUUAGGCAGAAGAAAGAAAGAAUCCUCUAAUACAGCCUUGACUUGAUAAAUGUUCGAUAGACUUAAACCUGCGAGAUCAGGGGGCGCUGACUCCUCCUAAAAGCGAGUUGCCACCUCAUGUUACCAGAAAGGAAGACGGAGUUCAACCUGAUCCAAGCUUCAAACCUCUGGCACGGCCUUGGCCUCCAGUUCCGCCUCUUACAACCAUCAAUAAAAGGAUCCAAACUUGGCACAGCGCUCAGAUUCUGCAGAUCGGGCCAACGAUUAACGCACAAGAGGCUCUCAGAGCGGCAGAAAUCCCCUCUCUGCUGCGCGGUGUCCUGUUACCCUGCACAAUUUUCAGGGGUUUUAGCGUCUUCCUGUGGAAAUCAAUAUAUUCUCUGUGGUAAAAAUGAUUCACGCUGAAGGUCCGACCAAAGCGAAUCCUCAGCACGGCGGCCACCCGCUGCUGCCCGCUGAAAGGACAUGCUUCAAAGUGUUCAUCCUCAGACCUUCAACCUCUCAGCCGGCAGGAAGCCAAACAACUUCCACUUCCUCUGGACAGAGAAGAUAUCAUCUGAGGUUCACUACAUCAUAUUUUUACCAGAUAAAUGCAGAGUUAAUGUCUAUAAAAUACUUCACAACCAUCUCUAUGAUUCUCUGGGACCUUAAAUCUGAUUCCUGCCAACAAAUCAGAACUUUUCUAUCGUUUUUACUCUUAAAAAACAACAAGAGGAAAUAUAAUAUAAUAGGAUAUCAUUUAAAUGGAUAACAACAUGAUAGCAUACGACAUAAGAUGAUACAAUAAACCACAAAAGAAACAAUAAAAUAUGAUUAAACCUAUAUUAAAAACAAUAUGGUAAUAAAAUAUGACAUGGUACAGUGCAAUUGACCCUUCGCGAAGUCCCGCCCCCCAUGGUUACAGUUGCUACGCCUGGCAAGCUUUCUUCGCCAGUUCUGCUUACAUGAAUUUCUCAGUGAUUUCGGGGGAAGGAUAUUCUGAAGUGAAUCGUGUCAAAUUUCUGGAGUAAUAGUUCGGAAAUAUAAGAGAGAAGUAGACAGAAAGGACUGCAAUAUGCAUCUGAGAAAUAUAUUUACAACACAAUUUGUUGGCGGGGUAAUGCUGACGAAGAGGACGUUAAAAUCGAGGCCGAGGCUCAUUGUUCAUAUUGCAAGAGUUGGCCACCCCACGUCUUGACAGUUCAUGUUCCAAACAAAUGUAUUUAAAGGAACAACAAUGUUCUUGCAUCGCAGGGUAAGUCAAUAUCUCACUUUAUUUUAAGCUAACUUUCAUUCAUGACUCCCUGUAAUUUUCUCUAUCAAAUAUGUUAGCCAGUUGCUAAAUGGUAUGUUUUCCAUUUUUUUUAUAGCGCAUCAGGAUAUUGUUCCCACAUCAUGAGUUUGAUCAAUAUAUUGGAUAUGAUAAAGGCACAUCAUAGCUGCUACUGGACUGGGAAACGCUGGCGUUGGUCACUCAUUCACAAAAUGCUGGAAUGCAAAAUCCGGUAUGUUGGUUUGGCCUCUAAAGGUACAAAACUACCCAUCUCGAUGUUAAAACAUCAGUAACUUUUCAUUAGUUUUGUACUACUGUCUUGUAGGGAACAACUGUGUGCUAGGUAGCGUUAGCAUGUUACCUUGGAACAAACAUAGUCGUUUUUCGUUAUCCUCGAUGGAUACAGCUGCGAGCGAGGUCUUCUGUGAGUGGGUUCUUGAUAUCUUUCAUCCGACUUGCAAGUCCUGUAAGGGAAAGCUUGCCAGGCGCUCCUCAUUAGUUACCAUUGCUAACGUAACGGUCAGUGGCGGAAAGAAGCAAAAUUGUAGGCGGAAACAAGAUGGCUACAUCUACGUAAGUUAUUUUAGCUCUUUCCUUGUCUGAAUGUAAGACAAGCGCUAAACUAACUUUUGUAGAUGUAGCCAUCUUGUUUCAGACCUCUGAUUUUGCUUUUUUCUGACUUGGUAACUGAAUCGCUGAGAACUUGGGUGUGACGUUACUUUCAGCUCCGACAUCUGACUUCUGAGGUAACUCCAACAAUAACACAAACUUAGAUACAAUACAGCACGACAAAUACACAAUGACAGGAUACACUUUUGUUGUGAUUUUAAGCCUUUUUAAAGUGUGUGGUGUUACUUUUUACACAGAUUUGCCAUCAUGUCAACUGCAGCCGACUCUGCCAUCUUCCUCAGGAGAGUCACAUGACGCUGUAAUAGAGGUUUGGUCGUCCUACCUGAAGCGCCAAGAUGACCACGCCCCCUGUUGUCCAAACAGCCUCUCAGGUGUGUUUCUUGUUUAUUGAUCCCUGUUGGCUCUUAAUACAGAGUUGCUCUCUUUGUGUCUCCUACGUAUAAUGGAGCAUACCAACAUUUAACAUGAACAUGCAGGACUCUCACUCAGUUUUAAAACGAUUGGAGCCGCAUCGACAGUCGUUAAAAUCACGUUAGCUCCUCCGAACGUGAGCUAGGAUGUUUGUGGUCUCGGCUCAGUUUGGUCCAAGAUGAAAGUCAACUUUAGAGUCCAGUAAAAGUUCAGAUCUUGGUCCAGGACGUGAAGGACCUCUGACUGCACGAGGUUAACACGUCCCAGGAGACACACACACACACACUCACACACACACUCUCACACACACACACACUUUAGCGUCCUAAUCCCCCCCGAAGCAGCAGCUUUAGUGUAACUCACGCCGCAGCUGUCCACGGCUGGAAGAAUCGAGAAAUUGUCCUGCACAUGUUCAGCUGCAGCAACAAAUGUCACGGAGCACGGCAGAUGAAAAGUCAAGAUGGAUGGAUGGAUGGGCUCCUGAUGCCAACACACACACACACACACACACACACACACACACACACACACACACAUGCCAGCGCUGGCUUGAUGAGUCAUGGAUAAGAAGGGCAGGUGAAGGCUGCCAGAGGUUUUAUAGUAGAGAGGAGUGUGUUUGUGUGUGUGUGUGUGUGUGUGUGUGUGUGUGUGUGUGUAGUUGGGGUCGAUGAGGUCGCGUGGCAUAAAUCAACACAGAGGUCAAAGGUCAAGAAAGAAUAAGUUGUGUCUAACCGAGUUGCUGGAUUUCGAUCAAUAAAUCCUCAAAAUUAAGAGAAAAGUUUGAUGAUUUUUAAAGUUUAAGGGUCCAAAUUUAGUGUUUAGUGACUCAACGAAGACUUUGAAGGAACGUAUGAAACUUAAUGCAACAUGUCUGUAAAUCUUUAAAUUAUUAAAACAUUUCCUCAUUAGGACAAUAAUUAGCUUUAUUUACACUAUAUAAGUUUGGAUCUUAAGGGCCUGUGUCCACUAGCAGCAUUUUCUGAAUCGGCCUGUUAUACUCGUCAACAUUUGGGUGAAUUCGGUCAGAGUUUCAUCUGCGUUUUUGUGUUGGUUUAGUCAAUAACCAGUCAGAGGAUCUCUGUUUUCAUUUUGGUCUCAUUUGAGUCAAAAGUUCUUCGUAAAGUUUUAUGACGUUGGUUGAAAGGAAGGAUACCUGCUGCUGCUGCUGCUGCUGCUGAUGGUCAUGCUGGUUUUUCUCCGUCACAGAGAUGCUUCACCGUCUAACCUUCAGACAGGUGCUCAGGUGUCUCUCUUCCCUCCUCCUGCUUCUUUUAACUCUGAUGAAACCUAAAGCUGGAGGGUGUGUCUGUCUGUGUGUGUAUACCUGUGUAGUCGUGUGUGCAUGUGUGUGUGUGUGUGUGCCCUACAUUCCCAGCAUGUCCGCGGUCUCACUGAGCAUUAGUAGACACAUUAACCGGCAUGCCGCAUGACUGAGGAGACAAACUGCAGUGUUUACUUCCACCUCAGGGGGGCAACAGUGAGCUGGUAGAGCAUCAAACUCUGAUUCAGUCACUACAGACUAAUUAAGUUAAAGUCGUAUCAAAGGAAAAGUUCCUCUUGUGUUCAGAUCAGGACUUGAAGUCAAAGAUUAACUUCCUCUCUAGUGUGAGUCUGCAGGAAAGUCUUGAAAUAAACCCGAUGUGCACUCUAAAGUGAGCAUCCUGCAGAAUUUCUAACAUCAUGUCUGCUGUUAAAGAAAUUUGGAGAAUAACUUCAGAUCUACAGGACGUAUUUUUUCCCUCAUGGCUGCAGAGGACUGUAGGAAACUCCUGCAGGUCUUGAUUCCCACAGAUUCCCCCCCGUCCUGGGCUAAAACUGUCCCUGCUCCAGAUACUGGGAGAUGAAUCCAGUCCAACAUGACAUGUGUUUCCAUGAUCCUCCUGUUGCUCUGCUGGAGAGUCGCUUUGGAUAAAGAGAGUCAGCAAAAUGCCUGAAAUGUAAAAUGAGAGAGCAGAUUAAACCAGAGCCAACUCCGGGGUCUCAAAUCAUCCCUCUGAGAGACGUUCAGGGGCCGCUUAAACCGUGGGACGACGGGCUGUUUGUGCAGGAUGGUGUGGUAAAAUGUCAGGAAGGAUUAGAAAGGCUUUUAUACUGUUAGGGCAAAUAAAUUAAUGAUACAAAGAGAAAAAAAUGACUUUAUAAUUUAAGUUUUGAGCCUUUAUAGGAGGAGACGGGACAGAGGACUGAGCAGGAAACACGGAAGGAGAUUUUAAAGGUCUGAAGAUCUGCUGUUUAAGACGAGAGGUGUUUUAAUAAUUUACUCUCUAUUUCAGGAUUCAACACUAUUUUCAGUCUAAAGUUAAAGAUAGUAGACAGAGAGGAAACAGAUAAAAUACCAGAAAUAGUCGGGCAGACCAGACCAGAGUUGGAUUACUUGAAAAAAAACAUGAAGUCACACCUUAAAAACCACAAACAAACGUCGUGAGUUCUGAUCUUUAAAGGGAUAUUUCAGUGUUUUUGUUCCUAGUAAGUGUUUUAACCACAAUUGAUGACGGUCAGCUCUGCUACAGCUUUCUGUAAACGUUUGUCAAAACUGAUAAAGAAGUUAAACCCAACAGAAUACAGCAGAGGACACCUGCUUUGUUAACCACACAUAAUCAACCUUCACUUAUAAUCCUUUGGCUGGAUCGUGUGUUUUGGAAAGAACAUACAAACAAAUGAAGUAUUUCUCCUUCCUGUCCAGCUGAACUCGGUGACGCAGCUCUCGCCCGAUGGAAGAUUCUCCGACCCUCACUCAGCUCUCGGGCUCUGCAUAAUCCACAUGAUCUCGUGGAUUCAUUAAACCGGUCCUGACGCAUGCUAUCCUGCAGACACAUACCCAGAGAAAGGUCUCAUGCCCUGGGCACGGGCGGCCUGGCCCUCAGUGACGCUCCGGACUAAAAUAGUGUCAUAAAGUCAUCCAUCAAAGAAGUGGGCCAAGGGUCAGCGAGGAGCUGGCAGCCGAGGGAAACCACAACGGGAACAUCCCAGAAUACUCCUGAAUUCACACCGCUCAAUAUUUAGACCCCAAAGUGUUUUUCCUUCCUGUGAUCAGGACUUUCUUUUUUCAGUUCCCGUCUCUAAAGGUCAGACCCUGAGUCUGCAGAAAGAGCAUUUCAAACAUUUAUAAUUACAUUUACUGGGAAUGUGGGCCGAG